GACGUAGGGCGCGAGCGUUGUCCGGAUUUAUUGGGCGUAAAGAGCUCGUAGGCGGCUUGUCGCGUCGACUGUGAAAUCUCAGGGCUCAACUCUGACGUUGCAGUCGAUACAGGCAGGCUAGAGUUCGGUAGGGGAGACUGGAAUUCCUGGUGUAGCGGUGGAAUGCGCAGAUAUCAGGAGGAACAUCAGUGGCGAAGGCGGCUGUCUGGCCCAAUACUGACACUCAGGUGCGACAGCGUGGGGAGCAAACAGG
rnacentral:rRNA from 1 species